CAGCUCUUCAAGUGGUCGGGAUAAUUAUUGGGCUUAAAGUGUCCGUAGCCGGUUUAGUAAGUUCCUAGUAAAAUCGGGUAGCUUAACUAUCUAUAUGCUAGGAAUACUACUAUACUAGAGGGCGGGAGAGGUCUGAGGUACUACAGGGGUAGGGGUGAAAUCUUAUAAUCCUUGUAGGACCACCAGUGGCGAAGGCGUCAGACUGGAACGCGCCUGACGGUGAGGGACGAAAGCCAGGGGAGCGAACCGGAUUAGAUACCCGAGUAGUCC
rnacentral:rRNA from 1 species